UGGGGAAUUUUGCACAAUGGGGGAAACCCUGAUGCAGCGACGCCGCGUGAUUUAGAAGGCCUUCGGGUUGUAAAAAUCUUUUCUAUGGGAAGAAAAUGACAGUACCAUAGGAAUAAGGACCGGCUAAUUACGUGCCAGCGGCCGCGGUAAUACGUAAGGUCCGAGCGUUGUCCGGAAUCAUUGGGCGUAAAGGGUACGUAGGCGGGUAAGCAAGUUAGAAGUGAAAUCCUAUAGCUCAACUAUAGUAAGCUUUUAAAACUGCUCAUCUUGAGGUAUGGAAGGGAAAGUGGAAUUCCUAGUGUAGCGGUGAAAUGCGCAGAUAUUAGGAGGAAUACCGGUGGCGAAGGCGACUUUCUGGCCAUAACCUGACGCUGAGGUACGAAAGCGUGGGUAGCAAACAGG
rnacentral:rRNA from 1 species